rnacentral:rRNA from 1 species
AUUGAACGCUGGCGGCAUGCCUUACACAUGCAAGUCGAACGGCAGCACGGGUGCUUGCACCUGGUGGCGAGUGGCGAACGGGUGAGUAAUACAUCGGAACAUGUCCUGUAGUGGGGGAUAGCCCGGCGAAAGCCGGAUUAAUACCGCAUACGAUCUACGGAUGAAAGCGGGGGACCUUCGGGCCUCGCGCUAUAGGGUUGGCCGAUGGCUGAUUAGCUAGUUGGUGGGGUAAAGGCCUACCAAGGCGACGAUCAGUAGCUGGUCUGAGAGGACGACCAGCCACACUGGGACUGAGACACGGCCCAGACUCCUACAGGAGGCAGCAGUGGGGAAUUUUGGACAAAGGGCGAAAGCCUGAUCCAGCAAUGCCGCGUGUGUGAAGAAGGCCUUCGGGUUGUAAAGCACUUUUGUCCGGAAAGAAAUCCUUGGCCCUAAUACGGUCGGGGGAUGACGGUACCGGAAGAAUAAGCACCGGCUAACUACGUG